UACAGAGGGUGCGAGCGUUAAUCGGAAUUACUGGGCGUAAAGCGUGCGUAGACGGUUAUUUAAGUCGGGUGUGAAAGCCCCGGGCUCAACCUGGGAAUUGCAUUCGAGACUGAAUAGCUAGGGUACGGUAGAGGGAAGCGGAAUUUCCGGUGUAGCGGUGAAAUGCGUUGAUACCGGAAGGAACAUCAGUGGCGAAAGCGGCUUCCUGGACCAGUACCGACGUUCAGGCACGAAAGCGUGGGGAGCAAACAGG
rnacentral:rRNA from 1 species